rnacentral:lncRNA from 1 species
GAGCAGUGGGAAAACAAAAAGUGCCAAGAAAGGACUGCACAAAACCAGGCUACUGUGUGUCAAUCACUGAGAAGAGUUUCCUGUUAAAAAAAAAAAACAAAAAACUGUAACUUUCAAUCUAAAAACAAAAAUGUCUUGGACUUAUUAUUUAUUUACCUAUUGCUGGGAGUGAAGGGCUCACAAUAUUCAACCCAAUAAAGUUGGUAUUAACUUUUACUUAUUUAAUUUUUAAUAUAUAUGAGAAUAAAAACCAUCUUUAAGAAUCAAAUCGCUUUACUCAGGCAUUCAUUAUUUGAUUAUUUGUUUCCAGGCAAGGAGCAUCUUUCUAUAUACCAAGAACACUGCUAAUUUUUAAUGACUGUAUUAUUGAUGAAAAUACAUUGGCUUUUGGUACUGAGCAUCCAAAGUCAAUUGCUGAAGGCUUUUGUAGUCCCUCUAAUAUUUUCUAGUGUUAACAAUGAUUUUGCCCCCUCCUUGCUUCUUUCAUUUUAUACCAAAAGCUGAGCAUCCCUAAUCCAAGAAUUAGAUGCCUUCUCUGGAGAAACUACUUUAAAAAGCCAUCCAGCAGAAUGCCUUCCUAUCCCUAGAGGACCUACUUCUUAGUCCGUCAACUAUUUCUGAUGUUUCUUCUUAUCUAAAACAAUAAAACACAGUAUACUGUAACCUUGUAAUCAAAGCACAGCAUUGUAGGUAGAGUCUAAAACCUGUUGUUUGUUGUUGCUGUUGUUUAACAGCUGAUACAUGUAUUCUGAUGAUGCUACUGGGUUCCUUAGUUACCAUGAACAUUUUUCUUUUUCACCCUAUUGAUGUUAUAUCAUAUAUUUUACUAUUACGUGCUUAUGUAUGAAUAAGAGUAAAAAAAAGAAUUGCUUAUUGGUAGGCUAUACAUCCACUGGAAUGCUUAUGAUGGCAAACAACCACAGAUUGUCCACAUGGGUGGUUGAGAUAGUGACUGCUUUGCUUUCUGACUGUUCAAAGUACACAAACUUUGUUUCAUGCAUAAAAUUAUUAAAAAAUAUUGUAUAAAGUUAAAUUCAGGACAUGUGUAUAAUGUAUAUAUAAAAUAUAAAUGAAUUUCAUGUUUAGAAUUGGGUCCCAUCCCCGAGAUAAGAUAUAUCAUUAUGUAUAUGCAAAUAUUCCAAAAUCCAAAAAUAUCCGAAAUAUUUCUGGAAAUCAUGGCUCUGGUUAUAUUUCUGUUGGACAGUACUAAUGUAAAUCACACAGACUUCAGAUACAAGGACAUCAUCACCCCAUUAUUAUAGACUUCUUGUUGUUCAAUGUUAAUUAAGGCAUUGCCCUAUUGUCAGUGAAAUUAAAAACCAAUCACAUUUUAAAUCUCAUUGGUAAGCCUUUCUUCAUUUAAGCAACGUGAUUGUUCAAUAAUCUAUUGCCUUUAAUUACAAAAAAUAGAUUAUAGAAAUGAUAUGAACAAUUUAUAAAAAGUAGUUUUAAACAAAUGAAUUAAAAUUCCAAUUCCAAUAUGGAAACGUUUAGAAUAUGGUUUCAUGUUAUAAUUUGUGCAAAAGAAAAAAAUGACUGUAAACCAGCUCAGUUUGAUAGAAGUUCUAUAUUAAUGAAAAUAUUCUAUAACUGUGUUGUUCAGUAAAGUAGCGAAGUGGCUAGUUGAGCUUUUGAAAUAUGGCUAGUGUGAUUGAUACAAUGAAUUCUCAAUUUUCAUUAGUUUAAAUUUAAAUAGCCAUAUGUGGCUAAUAUCUAUCAUAUUGGACAUUGAUAGAUAUUAGAACAGAAACAUAAUUUCUGCUCUAUAGCUAGCAGUAUUGAAUUUCACAUAUUGAAUUUCACAUACCUUGGAAAGUCCACGUUGGGAAUAUUUCUAUCUCACCUAAAUUAUGAGUGAUUAAAAUAUACAUUUUAACAAACUUCAAAUUGCUUUAAGUACUUUAGGAAGACCUUGACUGUUGGAUUUUUGAGUUUUUUCUUUAUUUCUUAAUAAAAACAUGCAUAUUUAAGUUGUCAGCAAGAUGUACUUAUAUGUUAAUUAUCUGAUAUCAGCAUCCCUUUAUGUAUUUAAAUUGUAUAUUUGAUUUUUAAUUAAAAUGAAAACAUCCAUUAAAAAACAAUUUUUAAAAGUGCUCCCCCCCUCCGAGUUCUUUUUUGUCUUUACAUUUUAUAAGCACAUUGCUUUUGACAUUAUGUGAGUGAUUAAUUCAGGAUAACAUAAACUUCUGGAAGUCAUUUACAGGUGGGAAUUAUUAGGUAAAAACCAUUUCUAAUUUAGGAAUAUGCAUAACAAAGUAUGUAUUGAAAAUGUUAAACUUCAUUCUUCCGAUUUGUCUCCUGCAGAAUGCCCAG